rnacentral:rRNA from 1 species
AGCAGCCGCGGUAAUUCCAGCUCCAAUAGCGUAUAUUAAAGUUGUUGCAGUUAAAAAGCUCGUAGUUGAACCUUAGGCAUGCGCGGGCGGUCCGUCCACACGGGCGAGUACUGCCUCGCCGCGUGCCUCGCCUUCUGGCGAACGCGGAUGCCAUUCGGUUGGUGUUCGUGGGAACCAGGACCUUUACCUUGAAAAAAUUAGAGUGCUCAAAGCAGGCUUUCACGCUUGAAUACAUUAGCAUGGAAUAAUGAAAUAGGACGAUGGUUCUAUUUUGUUGGUUUCCGGGACCGUCGUAAUGAUUAAUAGGGAUAGUUGGGGGCAUUCGUAUUCAAUUGUCAGAGGUGAAAUUCUUGGAUUUAUUGAAGACGAACUACUGCGAAAGCAUUUGCCAAGGAUGUUUUCAUUAAUCAAGAACGAAAGUUGGGGGAUCGAAGACGAUCAGAUACCGUCGUAGUCUCAACCAUAAACCAUGCCGACUGGGAAUCGGGCGACGUUACUAUAUUGACUCGCUCGGCGUACC